rnacentral:rRNA from 1 species
UACAGAGGAUGCAAGCGUUAUCCGGAAUGAUUGGGCGUAAAGCGUCUGUAGGUGGCUUUUUAAGUCCGCCGUCAAAUCCCAGGGCUCAACUCUGGACAGGCGGUGGAAACUACCAAGCUGGAGUACGGUAGGGGCAGAGGGAAUUUCCGGUGGAGCGGUGAAAUGCGUAGAGAUCGGAAGGAACGCCGGUGGCGAAAGCGACGUGCUGGACCCCUUCUGACGCUGAGGCGCGAAAGCCAGGGGAGCAAACGGG